GUUCGGCGGGUUGCGGGUCGUGGGUGCGCAGGCGCCGGGCGCGGGUUGCUAGGCGACGACCCCCGUCUGCGGGAGAUGAGCUCCUUGGCGGACACCUGAUUCAGUUUCGGAUCGCGAUCGGUGAUGCUAUCGCCCGCUUAUCUCCGCGCCCAGCCCGCCUAACCUCACAUCGAGAGUAAGGUCGUUACCAGGCUCACGGACGAUUAUCGCCCGAUCCAUUUUCCCAGGCCUCGUUCCCGCGCUUUUUUCCCGGGGCCACGAUCCGGUUUUCCCGGUGCAGUGUGUGUGACUUUCCGUCGGACGCUGAUUUUCUGCCGGAGGAGUUUUGGAGAUUUUGUGGUAUGCGUUGACUCUGAUUCUCAUGCGUUUAUUCGUGAGUAACUAUAAAAAUAAAUUAAUAAUUAAUUGAACGUACAUUUUACAUUAGAAAUUAUUUGAGUGCUUGUGCACUAGGGUGUCCCAAAUUUGAACCAUCCAAAAAAUUUUCUCGGAUCAUCGAUGUCCGAUGGUUUUAUUGUGUCAUUAUGUUAAACAUUUAAUAUCCCCAAAUUUGAGCAAAAUCGGAUGAUUUUUAGUGCUGCCACCACGCGUUUUUAGUCGCGGCGAAAAUUUCUUAAAGUAGCUUUUUUAGCGUUUUGGGCGCUACUUUUAAAGGUCGUUAGCAGCAAUUGGAGGCAUCAAAUAAUUUUUUAUCGUGACUCUGUAUAGUAUAGAUUCAAGUAGUAAUGUUUUUUUGGACGUUACAGACCUAAAAAUUUUACUUCGAACCCCCUAAAAUCGACGAAAAACUCGAUUUUUCCCUUUUAAGCAACUAGUCGAUGACUUUUAUGAAAAUUAGGGAAAAAAUUAAUAAUAAGCUUAUUUUUGGCAAAGUGGGUCCUUAAGACCCCCUAAGCUCCGCCAGAAAAGUUCUCAUUAACAGCGUGACGGGUUUGGAAUGUGGGGGGGGGGGGUGUUAGUGCCCCAAAAUCGCUUUGCCAGCCACAACAAAAGAACGAUUGGUCGCAGCACUACGAAUAGCACCAUUUUCUGAAUUC
rnacentral:lncRNA from 1 species